AGCGAACGUUAGCGGCGGGCCUAACACAUGCAAGUCGAACGCGAAAGGUCUUCGGACUGAGUAGAGUGGCGCACGGGUGAGUAACACGUAGGUAAUCUACCCUUUGGCGGGGGAUAACGUUCCGAAAGGAGCGCUAAUACCGCAUAAGACCACGGAGUCUCCGGACGCUGUGGGAAAAGGUGGCCUCUUCUUGAAAGCUACCACCGAAGGAUGAGCCUGCGUCCCAUCAGCUAGUUGGUAAGGUAAUGGCUUACCAAGGCGAAGACGGGUAGCUGGUUUGAGAGAAUGAUCAGCCACACUGGCACUGGAACACGGGCCAGACUCCUACGGGAGGCAGCAGUGAGGAAUAUUGGGCAAUGGGCGAAAGCCUGACCCAGCCACGCCGCGUGAGUGAUGAAGGUCCUCGGGUCGUAAAGCUCUGUGGAGAGGGACGAAAACCCUAGGUUUCAAAUAGGCUCCAGGCUUGACGGUACCUCUUUAGCAAGCACCGGCUAACUCUGUGCCAGCAGCCG
rnacentral:rRNA from 1 species